GCCCUGGUGGCUCAAUGGUUAAGCAUUUGGCUGCUAAACAAACGAUUGGCAGUUUGAACCCUCCCAGUGUC
rnacentral:tRNA from 1 species